rnacentral:sRNA from 3 species
CCCUAGCCCUGAUAGAAGCGAAAAUCCUUUUGUGGCGGUCCCGAGGCUUCGGGAGCCAUAAAAGAUUGAAGCGUCCCGGAGCUUCG